GACAAAGGAUGCAAGCGUUAUCCAGAAUGAUUAGGCGUAAAGCGUCUGUAGGUGGCUUUUUAAGUCCGCCGUUAAAUCCUAGGGCUCAACCCUGGACAGGCGGUGGAAACUACCAAGCUGGAGUACGGUAGGGGUAGAGGGAAUUUCCGGUGGAGCGGUGAAAUGCGUAGAGAUCGGAAAGAACACCAACGGCGAAAGCACUCUGCUGGGCCGACACUGACACUAAGAGACGAAAGCUAGGGGAACGAAUGGG
rnacentral:rRNA from 1 species